ACGAACGCUGGCGGCGUGCCUAAUACCUGCAAGUCGAGCGAAGUUUUUCUGGUGCUUGCACUAGAAAAACUUAGCGGCGAACGGGUGAGUAACACGUAAAGAACCUGCCUCAUAGACUGGGACAACUAUUGGAAACGAUAGCUAAUACCGGAUAACAGUAUUUCUCGCAUGAGAGAUAUUUAAAAGUUGGUUAUGCUAACACUAUGAGAUGGCUUUGCGGUGCAUUAGCUAGUUGGUGGGGUAAAGGCCCACCAAGGCGACGAUGCAUAGCCGACCUGAGAGGGUGAUCGGCCACACUGGGACUGAGACACGGCCCAGACUCCUACGGGAGGCAGCAGUAGGGAAUCUUCCGCAAUGGGCGAAAGCCUGACGGAGCAACGCCGCGUGAGUGAAGAAGGAUUUCGGUUCGUAAAGCUCUGUUGUUAGGGAAGAAUGGAUAUGUAGUAACUAUACAUGUAAGAGACGGUACCUAACCAGAAAGCCACGGCUAACUACGUG
rnacentral:rRNA from 1 species